CCGAAAGGGUGACGAAGCGACGCCGCGUGGGUGAGGAAGGCCUUCGGGUUGUAAAGCCCUGUCAGGAGUUAAGAAAUGUAAGUGCGCUAAUAUCGCAUUUAUUUGACGAAGGCUCCAAAGGAGGUCACGGCUAACUCUGUGCCAGCAGCCGCGGUAAUACAGAGGUGGCAAGCGUUGUUCGGAAUUAUUGGGCGUAAAGAGCACGUAGGUGGGUUUGUAAGUCAGACGUGAAAGCCUUCUGUUCAACGGAAGAAUUGCAUCUGAAACUGCGAGUCUUGAGUGUAGGAGGGGAGAAUGGAACUUCUGGUGGAGCGGUGAAAUGCGUAGAUAUCAGAAGGAACGCCGGCGGCGAAAGCGAUUCUCUGGCCUAUUACUGACACUCAGUGUGCGAA
rnacentral:rRNA from 1 species